GGAGCUGUGGCUCAGAGGUAGAGCCUCGGCUUGGCAUACAGAAGGUCGCAGGUUCAGUCCCCAACAUCUCCA
rnacentral:tRNA from 1 species